UAUUAAGGAUGAAUCUAUCCCGAACCUGAUUCCUGUAAGAUUGACAACCCUGUCGGAUCUGACUUCUGACAU
ensembl:snoRNA